AAAGCAGGUCGUUCUAUCGCUCCAAUUUUAUUGGGGAGGAAAGUCCGGACAGCACUGGGUAACACACUUCCUAACUGGAAGAUACUCGUGAGGGUAUAGUAAUGGAACAGAAAACAACCGCCUCGAUUCGUCGUGGUAAGGGUGAAAAGGUAAGGUAAGAGCUUACCGGUACUAAUGGCAACAUUAGUAGCCGUGCAACUUGUGUGCUGCAAGACCAUGUACACCGGCAGUAGAGGAUGACCCGUCCGAUGCCGGGGGGUAGGUCGCUAAAGGUAACAGGCGACUGUUAUCUCAGAUAAAUGAUAGAAUUUACGGCUUGCCGUAAAACAAAAUCCGGCUUAUAGACCUGCUUUUUUA
rnacentral:RNase_P_RNA from 2 species